rnacentral:misc_RNA from 1 species
CCGAGUUUACAACUCCCAAACCCCUGUGAACAUACCUACUUGUUGCCUCGGCGGAUCAGCCCGCGCCCCGUAAAACGGGACGGCCCGCCAGAGGACCCCUAAACUCUGUUUCUAUAGUGGAACUUCUGAGUAAAAACCAUAAUAAAUCA